rnacentral:RNase_P_RNA from 1 species
GUGGUGGAGUGGGGCGGUCGCGGCUCGCCCACAGGGCGGGUCGAGGAAAGUCCGAGCUCCACAGGGCGAACUGCCAGGUAACUCCUGGGCGUCGAAAGGCGACGGAAAGGGCCACAGAAAACAAACCGCCCACAUAGGUGGGUAAGGGUGAAAUGGUGGGGUAAGAGCCCACCGCACGGCUGGUAACAGGCGUGGCAUGGCAACCCCCAGUUGGAGCAAGGCCAAAUAGGCAGCGAGGUCUGGCCCGGACCGAAUGAGCUGCGGGUAGGCUGCUGGAGGUAGCGGGUGACCGCUAUCCUAGAUAGAUGACCGCCCGGACGUGCAAGCGUUCGAACAGGACUCGGCUUACGGCUCCACCACCUUU